rnacentral:pre_miRNA from 1 species
GAAAAGGAAAUAUUAGGUUGGUGCAAAAGUAAUUGCGAGUUUUACCAUUAAAAGUAAUUAAAAGUAAUGGCAAAGCAUGCAAUUACUUUUGCACCAAUGCAAUAGAUUCUAAGUC